CGUUGUUCGGAAUCAUUGGGCGUAAAGGGCGCGUAGGUGGUUCUGUAUGUCUACCGUGAAAGCGUACGGCUCAACCGUAUUUUGUCGGUAGAAACUGCAGGACUUGAGGCUGGGAGGGGCUGGUGGAAUUCCCUGUGUAGCGGUGAAAUGCGUAGAGAUGGGGGAGAACACUCGUGGCGAAGGCGGCCAGCUAGACCAGUUCUGACACUGAGGCGCGACAGCGUGGGGAGCAAACAGG
rnacentral:rRNA from 1 species